GACGAACGCUGGCGGCGUGCCUAAUACAUGCAAGCCGAGCGCAGGAAAUCGACGGAACCCUUCGGGGGGAAGUCGACGGAAUGAGCGGCGGACGGGUGAGUAACACGUAAAGAACCUGCCCUCAGGUCUGGGAUAACCACGAGAAAUCGGGGCUAAUACCGGAUGGGUCAUCGGACCGCAUGGUCCGAGGAUGAAAGGCGCUUCGGCGUCGCCUGGGGAUGGCUUUGCGGUGCAUUAGCUAGUUGGUGGGGUAAUGGCCCACCAAGGCGACGAUGCAUAGCCGACCUGAGAGGGUGAUCGGCCACACUGGGACUGAGACACGGCCCAGACUCCUACGGGAGGCAGCAGUAGGGAAUCUUCCACAAUGGACGAAAGUCUGAUGGAGCAACGCCGCGUGAACGAUGAAGGCCUUCGGGUCGUAAAGUUCUGUUGUAAGGGAAGAACAAGUGCCGCAGGCAAUGGCGGCACCUUGACGGUACCUUGCGAGAAAGCCACGGCUAACUACGUGCCAGCCGCCGCCGUAAUAC
rnacentral:rRNA from 1 species